AACUCCGUGUGCUGGGAAUCUUUGCAUGCAGCUGUGUGCUGAACUGAAACCCUUCGCUCUAUCUAUCUAUCUAUAUAAACAGAUGCCCUUCGCUCUCGUCUCAGCAAGCAGCAUCGACCGACGCCAACGACAGAGAAGAGAGUCCAUCUGCUCGUUGCCUUGAUUUUGUGGAACGAAGCGAUGGCUCGCAGCGGCGCCAUGGUUUCCUGCAUGCUGCUCCUGGUGGUGGCGCAACUGCUCAUGGUGAUGGCCACGCAGACAGCGGCGGCGGCGGGCGACCAACGCGGAGCUGGACGCCGGCUGCUGUGGCAGGUGACCUGCCACUACAGCGCCUGUAACUGCCGCACUUGCCCGACAUAUGGCUGGGCGUGCUGCAGCACUUGCUGCUAGCUAGCUAGCUAGUGUGAGUUCUUCCGCGCGCGCGCAGCCUUUUGCACACCCCUCUUGCUUAGCUCAUGCAUGUCCAGUAGUAGCCGGUUGCUGCACUCGUCGUCGGCGGCGGCGGCGGCGGCGUCAUCUCUGGCGUGGUUACGUUCUCAUCAGCGACUUCUAAUGGCGCUCUCGAUCUUUAUUUCCUGCAGUCCUUUUUGUAAUAAGAAGCCAAUUGAUGUGUGUGCACGCGCAAUCCUAAUAAUAAAUAGAUCUUCUUUGUGCCUU